CAUCCCAAAACUUCAUCCAUUGAGUCCUGCAGCUGCGGCCGUAGGCAAUGAACUCUACAAUGUACGAGACUACCACUGCCACUCGAGCAACUCAUCCAUCUUCACUCUUCCCACAAAUCACAAGAUGCAAAUCUAUCGCACAGCUUAAUCAAAUUCACGCCCACUUCAUCAAAACUGGCCUUGUUCGUGACCCUCUUGCUGCGGCCGAAAUUCUCAAAUUUCUCUCCCUUUCCAAUCACCGUGACCUCAACUACGCGCGUAAGUUUUUUGCUCAAAUUCGUGAACCCAAUUGCUUCUCUUGGAACACCGUCAUCAGAGCUUUUGCUGAAGCUGAUGAUGAUGAUAGUCAGAAUGAUAGCGAUUGUUAUAAGAACCCAUUUGAAGCGUUUUUAUAUUUUUGCCAAAUGUGUAGCGAUGGUUUUGUGGAACCCAAUAGAUUCACCUUCCCUUCUGUGUUAAAAGCCUGUACUAAAACGGCAAGGCUUCAAGAAGGGAAGCAGGUUCAUGGGUUUGUUGUCAAAUUAGGAUUGGAUAGUGAUGAAUUUGUUGCUAGCAAUCUUGUUAGGAUGUAUGUUAUGUGUGGACUCAUGGAGGAUGCCUAUGUAUUGUUUAUGAAGCACGUUUCUGAGUAUGAUAAUCCUAGCAAAUUACCUAGAGAUAAAAGGACACAAGAGGGUAAUGUGGUUUUAUGGAAUGUGAUGCUUGUGGCUUAUGGGCAGCUGAAUAAUUUAAGCGGGUCAGUUCAGGUAUUUAGACAAAUGCAGAUUGAAGGCUUUAUACCUAAUCAAUUUACCUACCCGAGUAUUUUGAGAACUUGCACAUCAUUUGGAGCUCUUGAUCUAGGGGAGCAAAUCCAUUCUCAAGUCAUAAAGGCUGGCUUUCAGUUUAAUGUGUAUGUCUGUAGUGUGCUUAUAGAUAUGUAUGCUAAGCAUGGAAAACUAGAUAUUGCCCAAGGGCUUCUUAGAAGACUUACUGAGGAAGAUGUUGUUUCGUGGACAGCUAUGAUUGCAGGGUACACACAACAUGAUUUAUUUGCUGAAGCUCUUAAACUGUUUGAAGAAAUGCUAAACCGAGGGAUCCAAUCAGACAACAUAGGCUUUUCAAGUGCAAUCAGUGCAUGUGCUGGUAUUCAAGCACUGAAUCAAGGACAACAAAUUCAUGCCCAAUCAUAUGUCUCUGGUUUUUCUCAAGAUCUUUCAAUUGGCAAUGCACUUGUUAGCCUUUAUGCUAGAUGUGGUAGAAUUCAAGAAGCAUACUUGGCAUUUGAAAAAAUUGAUGCCAAAGAUAGUAUAUCAUGGAAUGGAUUGAUAUCUGGAUUUGCACAAAGUGGAUACUGUGAGGAAGCACUGAAGAUCUUUGUUCGGAUGAAAAGAGCUAAUGUAGAAGCUAGUUUAUUCACAUUUGGCUCUGCAGUUAGUGCCGCUGCCAAUAUGGCCAAUAUAAAGCAAGGGAAGCAGAUCCAUUGCAUGAUUAUAAAAACAGGAUUUGAUUUGGAAAUUGAAGUUUCCAAUGCUUUAAUUACACUCUAUGCAAAGUGUGGUUGCAUUGAUGAUGCCAAAAGAGAGUUUUUUGAGAUGUCUGAGAAAAAUGAAGUUUCUUGGAAUGCUAUGAUUACGGGCUAUUCUCAACAUGGAUGUGGUAAUGAAGCAGUAAAUCUUUUUGAAGAAAUGAAACAGGUAGGUGCACUACCAAACCAUGUCACUUUUGUUGGAGUUCUAUCAGCUUGUAGCCAUGUGGGGUUGGUCAAUCAGGGUCUUGCAUACUUUGAAUCCAUGAGCAAAGAGCAUGGCUUAGUGCCUAAGCCUGAACAUUAUGCAUGUGUUGUGGAUCUUCUUAGUCGUGCUGGUCGUUUGAGCCAAGCAAAAAAAUUUAUUGAGGAGAUGCCAAUUGAACCAGAUGCAAUGGUUUGGAGAACCCUUUUAAGUGCUUGUAUAGUUCAUAAGAACACAGCAAUCGGAGAGUUUGCUGCUCUUCAUCUAAUGGAAUUGGAACCUGAAGAUUCAGCAACUUAUGUUCUUCUGUCAAAUAUGUAUGCAGUGGCUGGGAAUUGGGAUUGUAGGGACCAGACCAGGCAGAUGAUGAAAGACAAAGGUGUGAAGAAAGAGCCUGGUCGUAGUUGGAUUGAGGUUAAGAACUCAGUUCAUGCAUUCUUUGUUGGUGAUAAGCUCCAUCCCCUAGCAGAUAAAAUAUAUGAAUUCUUAGCUGACCUGAAUAAAAGGGCAGCUGAAAUUGGUUACAAGCAAGAUAGAUAUAGCCUGUUAAAUGAUGUAGAGCAGGAGCAGAAGGAUCCAGCUGUAUAUAUUCAUAGUGAGAAACUGGCUAUUGCAUUUGGACUUCUUAGUUUGUCAGAUCCAAUUCCCAUACGUGUAAUGAAGAAUCUUCGUGUCUGUAUUGAUUGCCACACAUGGAUUAAGUUUGUAUCAACGAUUUCAAAUCGGACAAUUGUGGUACGAGACGCAUACCGCUUUCAUCAUUUUGAAGGUGGAGUUUGUUCAUGUAGAGAUUAUUGGUAAGCAAAAUUGCAGGAAGAUUGUUGGAAACAAGGAUUUCAAGGGAUCUGAGAGCAUGUUAUGUUCUUGGAAGAAUCUGCAUCAGCUCGUAAAAUCACCUGCCACUUAUUAGUCACUACCAAGUCCCCUCCAAGCUGUCUGCCUUUUCAUUUGUUAAUACAAAUAUGGUGUUUCUUCCCAUAGAGAUCACAGGGAGUAUUCGACCAGACAAAAAAAGAUGGCCAAGGGAAAACUGUGAAGGAAGUGUUCCAUUAGGAUGACCUGGAAUAAUCAUUGCCAUAGAUCCUCCAGGAGCAAUCUCUUCUGCUCUAGCAGCUGAGCAGAAUUGGCUUCGCCAACUUCAGUCGGUGCAUUUACAGGAUGAAUUCUGGCCCUAUUACACACAUAAGAAUGCAAGUCACUUAGCUCUUGCGGUGCCCUGAAAAGCCAUUGCAAUGCAGAAGCUGAAUAGACGAAGUUUGGGGAUGAUUUUGGACAAAAUAUGCCAUGGAAAAAGCCUGGAACUCCAGCACCAAAUUAUCCUUAGUUUGAAGGAAAAUUGACAAAUAGGGUAUUGAAAUCAUUGGAAGUAUGAUUUUGAUUUGAUUUGAUUUACUUAUUUUGUUUAGACCAAUGUUUCCGGUCUAAAACAAGGUUCAGCAGCCAAUUUGUCUCUAACUUGGAUUAUCUCAUUCUGGAAAUUGGUUCUCGUGAGAUUUAACAAUGUCUUGAAGUACUUGGUGAACUUCUUGAUGUUGAUUCCAUAAAUGCGUGGCUGGGGUUCACUCUCCUUAUUUCUGGGGCUUUGACAAUGUAAGCUUAGCAAUCAUUCCUCUCUUUUAUCUAUCAUCUCCUAAUAUGAUUUACUGGGAGAAGAUGAAAUAAUCUCCAUUCCUUGAUAUUUAGUGGUUCCAGAAGAGUAACUCUGGUCUCUGGAGCAUGCAAGAUGUGAAGGUUGUAGAGCCCUGGGAUCUUGUUAGGGGAAAAGAAAGAUUAAAAGAAAAUAAAAUUUUCCUCUCUAGUUUUGUUUGUUACUUGCUAUUCUCGCUGUGUUUGACAUGUCUAAUAAUUCUACCUUUUUCUCUUUCUAAUAACAACUCUAGAGCAUGCAAAAUGAGUCAUUAAUGCCCUUGGUUAUUGAGGAUUUUCUAUUUUCUAUCUGGUGGGUGUCCAGAGAAGGUGAUUGCAGGCCCAAAGCAACUGGGGGUUUAUUUCAGGAGACACAAAGUAGGGAAAACAGAUGAUUCAGGAAGCUUGCAUAUGAAGGUUAUUGAAGGGGAGUUAUUUCUGUUAGAAAGAAUUAAGGAGCGACUGACACCUGGAGAUGCUAACAGAAAAAGGGCAGCUCAAAUUCCAGAAUAAUAAGGAGCAGCAGGAGAAAGGAGGGUGUGCAGAAACUUUCAAAGAAACGGCCUAGAGCUGGGGCAUGGUUCUCUUGCACGGGGGUGUUUCAUGGUUUAUUUUAUUUUAAGCAUUUCUUGUAUUUUUCACGACUGUAUUAAGAAAGAAGAGUGAAUCUACUGCUGAGAAAACAGAUUGGUUUUGUAAUUGAAAUUUCAGUCUUCAAUACAAUCAAAGUUACAAUGCCUGCUCUUUACAUUCUCAUUUAUAGUUUCUAAUUCUAUCAAAUGACAACUUUGGAUUGCCAAUACUAGGUAAAAUUAAAAAAAAUAUUUGACAAUCUUUCAGUUAAUGAAAACUCAUUUCCUGUCUUCUUCCAUACAUAGUCGACUCUUACAGCAAAAUCACAUCAUGGUGAUGCCUAUUGCAUACCAAUUAUAAUCGAAGAGCAAAGAAAUAUUCCUAGAGCACAUCAAAUUUGCCAUCAAUGAUUCUUUGGACUCUGCAUAAUGGCGAAAAGCCUAAUCGCAUAGAUAGAGUUGCACAAAACAAAAUAUGCUUAAUUCCUUUAGUUAAAUUGACAACUGCUCUAAUCAUGUGGGUAUUACCUCUUUUCACAGGGAAUAGCUAUCAAACAAUCAGGCAACAGUUGCCACAGAAAAAGAAUAAAAUCGGCAUUCUUACAGAAUUUUACCAUUAAUCACCUAGGUAAAUGAACAAACUACAACAAGAUACGGACAACGGCAAGCCCAACAGCAGAUAUUGAAACAAGGGUACCUAUGCAGUAUUUAAUCACGUCAUACUUUGCAGCUUCCAACUGUGCUCUCAAUGAAUGAAUUUCCCUGUCAAGCUUGUUCGUAAGGUUGUUGGUUUCUGCACUCUGAUUAGCAAGCUCAUCACGUAUGCGCCCUCUUUCAAGAUUUAAAUCCAAACGUUGCCCAGCUGUGACCUUGUCAAUUUCAUACCUCAGUUCACUGCGCAUUUUAUCUAUGUCGCUCCGUAGUUUUUCAGUCUCACGUUGCAACAAAGAAAAAUGAUGUUCCUGAGAACUCUGUACUUCAGACUUGAACUUUGACAAAUUUGAUUCUUGAAUCAUUUCACUCUUUUGCAUUUCAGCCUUGGAAACAAAAGAAUGCGCCACAUUUUCCAAGCUAUCGUUUAACACUUCAGUGAUAGCAGCAGUUAUCGCCUCAGCCUGCUUCGAAGGCACACCUUGCGCUUCCAAACCUCUCACCAGAGCCAAUGUAUCAACGAGAAACGCGCGCUUUACAUUAGAGUUAACGAGCUGAGAUAUCUGUCUGUACUCAAAUCCAUUAGCAAAAGAAGUUGAAGAUGAAUUGAUAGAUCGAAACUUGGUGAAAUGAAACGCAGCAUUCAGCCCUAAUUGAACACUACGCUUACACAUAGCCAUCAAAUUUGCAGUUUUCGUUAACAGAAUGAAUCAAUAUUAAGAAAAAUUAGUAGCAGAAGAAUGAAACCGAUUGUUACAAAGAAUGGAACAAGAGGACUUUGUUCAUUUCUGCGAAGAAAUGAAGAGAAUAACUCUGGAAGAGGAGAGUUGCGCUUGAUAGGAAAUGGGAACGUAGUCGUUGGAUAAAAAGAAAAUGAACAAUAUACGGUUGCUUGCCCAAAACGCUUAGCGCCUUUUUGAUUUCGUUUGCGUUCUCUAGGGUCCCGGGAGACCGUCGUCAAACUCAUAUGCUUGCUUGGAG
rnacentral:misc_RNA from 1 species